rnacentral:rRNA from 1 species
GACGAACCGUGCGAACGUUGUUCGGAAUCACUGGGCGUAAAGGGUGCGUAGGCGGGUUUUUAAGUCAGAGGUGAAAUCCUGGAGCUCAACUCCAGAACUGCCUUUGAUACUGGAAGUCUUGAGUAUGGGAGAGGUGAGUGGAACUGCGAGUGUAGAGGUGAAAUUCGUAGAUAUUCGCAAGAACACCAGUGGCGAAGGCGGCUCACUGGCCCAUAACUGACGCUGAGGCGCGAAAGCCAGGGGAGCAAACGGG